CUUAGUAAACACCAGCCCUGCACCUGGGAACCCCACAGGUACCAUCACACUGCCUUAGUUAACACCAGCCCUGCACCUGGGAACCCCACAGGUACCAUCACACUGCCUUAGUAAACACCAGCCCUGCACCUGGGAACCCCACAGGUACCAUCACACUGCCUUAGUUAACACCAGCCCUGGGAACCCCACAGGUACCAUCACAGUGCCUUAGUAAACACCAGCCCUGGGAACCCCACAGAUACCAUCACACUGCCUUAGUUAACACCAGCCCUGCACCUGGGAACCCCACAGGUACCAUCACACUGCCUUAGUAAACACCAGCCCUGCACCUGGGAACCCCACAGGUACCAUCACACUGCCUUAGUUAACACCAGCCCUGGGAACCCCACAGGUACCAUCACAGUGCCUUAGUAAACACCAGCCCUGGGAACCCCACAGAUACCAU